rnacentral:rRNA from 1 species
AUAUCAGUCAUGCAUAGCAUAUCAAUAAGCGGAGGAAAAGAAACUAACAAGGAUUCCCUUAGUAACGGCGAGUGAAGCGGGAAGAGCUCAAAUUUGAAAUCUUCAAGGUUUUACCUUGACGAAUUGUAGUUUAAAGAAGUGUUUUCUGUUGAAGUUUUGGUAAAAGUUCUUUGGGAAUAGGACAUCAUAGAGGGUGAGAAUCCCGUAUUUGACCAUUACUUUCAGCUUUGUGAUACACUUUCAAAGAGUCGGAUUGUUUGGGAAUGCAGUCCAAAAUGGGUGGUAAAUUUCAUCUAAAGCUAAAUAUUGGCGAGAGACCGAUAGCGAACAAGUACCGUGAGGGAAAGAUGAAAAGAACUUUGAAAAGAGAGUUAAACAGUACGUGAAAUUGUCAAAAGGGAAGCGUUUGACACCAGUGUUGUUUUCUCGAAAAUCAAUUAAAAAGAGUUGGAUUUUGUGUUGUAUUGACUUUAUCAGGCUUUCUUCACUCCUUUUCCAGCUUUUUUUAAUGCACUUUUCGUUUAACAAGUCAACAUCAGUUUCUUUUGUUGUAAAAAGGUCAUUGGAAGGUGGCUUUCUCUUCGGAGAAAGUGUUUAUAGCCUUUGACUCAUGCAAUCGGAGAGACUGAGGUCUGCAGCGUAGAUCCUUCGGGGUUAGAUACAUUUGUGCUAAGUUAUAGCUUUUCAUAGACAACUUGUUGACUAUGUUUAGUCUUGUAGCUUACUCGCUUAUGCUAUUUUACCUACGCUUAGGAUGUUGAACUCUAUCACACACAG